AUGUGUUCUUUUUUCUGUAGGAAUGUAAACAAAAAGCUGUGCACACAACAGAGCUGCCCAGUCCACAGAGCUGCCCAGUCCACAGAGCUGCACAGUCAACAGAGCUAUCCAGUCCACAGAGCUAUCCAGUCCACAGAGCUGCCCAGUCCACAGAGCUGCCCAGUCCACAGAGCUGCACAGUCCACAGAGCUAUCCAGUCCACAGAGCUAUCCAGUCCACAGAGCUAUCCAGUCCACAGAGCUAUCCAGUCCACAGAGCUAUCCAGUCCACAGAGCUGCCCAGUCCACAGAGCUAUCCAGUCCACAGAGCUGCCCAGUCCACAGAGCUAUCCAGUCCACAGAGCUAUCCAGUCCACAGAGCUAUCCAGUCCACAGAGCUAUCCAGUCCACAGAGCUGCCCAGUCCACAGAGCUGCACAGUCAACAGAGCUAUCCAGUCCACAGAGCUAUCCAGUCCACAGAGCUGCACAGUCAACAGAGCUACCCAGUCCACAGAGCUGCACAGUCAACAGAGCUAUCCAGUCCACAGAGCUAUCCAGUCAACAGAGCUGCACAGUCCACAGAGCUGCCCAGUCCACAGAGCUAUCCAGUCCACAGAGCUGCCCAGUCCACAGAGCUAUCCAGUCCACAGAGCUGCCCAGUCCACAGAGCUAUCCAGUCCACAGAGCUAUCCAGUCCACAGAGCUAUCCAGUCCACAGAGCUAUCCAGUCCACAGAGCUGCCCAGUCCACAGAGCUAUCCAGUCCACAGAGCUGCCCAGUCCACAGAGCUAUCCAGUCCACAGAGCUAUCCAGUCCACAGAGCUGCCCAGUCCACAGAGCUGCCCAGUCCACAGAGCUAUCCAGUCCACAGAGCUGCCCAGUCAACAGAGCUGCCCAGUCCACAGAGCUGCCCAGUCAACAGAGCUGCCCAGUCAACAGAGCUGCCCAGUCCACAGAGCUGCCCAGUCAACAGAGCUGCCCAGUCAACAGAGCUGCCCAGUCCACAGAGCUGCCCAGUCAACAGAGCUAUCCAGUCAACAGAGCUGCCCAGUCAACAGAGCUGCCCAGUCAACAGAGCUGCCCAGUCCACAGAGCUAUCCAGUCAACAGAGCUGCCCAGUCAACAGAGCUGCCCAGUCCACAGAGCUGCCCAGUCCACAGAGCUGCCCAGUCAACAGAGCUGCCCAGUCCACAGAGCUGCCCAGUCCACAGAGCUGCCCAGUCAGGCUCUCCUUCGGUACCACCACUUAAGCUGGAAUGA
rnacentral:lncRNA from 1 species